rnacentral:rRNA from 1 species
CCUAUCAUGCAAGUCGAACGAGAUUGUUGUAGCAAUAUGACAUGAAAGUGGCGCACGGGCUGCGUAACACGUAUGCAAUCUACCUCUAAUUGGGGCAUAGCUUCGAGAAAUCGGAAUUAAUACCCCAUAACAUAUUUGGAAGGCAUCUUUUGAAUAUCAAAACUCCGGUGAUUAGAGAUGAGCAUGCGCAACAUUAGCUAGUUGGUAAGGUAACGGCUUGCCAAGGCUACGAUGUUUAGGGGGUCUGAGAGGAUGAUCCCCCACACUGGUACUGAGACACGGACCAGACUCCUACGGGAGGCAGCAGUAGGGAAUAUUGGUCAAUGGAGGAAACUCUGAACCAGCCAUGCCGCGUGCAGGAUGACGGCCCUCUGGGUUGUAAACUGCUUUUAUACGGGAAGAAAAAAUGCUACGUGUAGCACAUUGACGGUACCGUAAGAAUAAGGAUCGGCUAACUCCGUGCCAGCAGCCGCGGUAAUACGGAGGAUCCAAGCGUUGUCCGGAUUUAUUGGGUUUAAAGGGUGCGUAGGCGGAUUUUUAAGUCAGUGGUGAAAGCCUGCAGCUUAACUGUAGAAUUGCCAUUGAAACUGAAAAUCUUGAAUUUGGUUAAAGUAGGCGGAAUGUAUCAUGUAGCGGUGAAAUGCUUAGAUAUGAUACAGAACACCGAUAGCGAAGGCAGCUUGCUGAACCAAUAUUGACGCUGAGGCACGAAAGCGUGGGGAGCGAACAGGAUUAGAUACCCUGGUAGUCCACGCCCUAAACGUUGAUUACUCGUUGUUGGCGAUAUACUGUCAGCGACCAAGCUAAAGCGUUAAGUAAUCCACCUGGGGAAGUACGACCGCAAGGUUGAAACUCAAAGGA